rnacentral:rRNA from 1 species
UACGUAGGGCGCGAGCGUUGUCCGGAAUCAUUGGGCGUAAAGAGCUCGUAGGCGGCCUGUCGCGUCUGCUGUGAAAUCCCGGGGCUCAACCCCGGGCGUGCAGUGGAUACGGGCUGGCUGGAGGCAGGCAGGGGAGAACGGAAUUCCCGGUGUAGCGGUGAAAUGCGCAGAUAUCGGGAGGAACACCGGUGGCGAAGGCGGUUCUCUGGGCCUGUACUGACGCUGAGGCGCGAAAGCUAGGGGAGCAAACAGG